GAUGAAGAACGUAGCGAAAUGCGAUAAGUAAUGUGAAUUGCAGAAUUCAGUGAAUCAUCGAAUCUUUGAACGCACAUUGCGCCCGCCAGUAUUCUGGCGGGCAUGCCUAUUCGAGCGUCAUUACAACCCUCAGGCCCCCGGGCCUGGCGUUGGGGAUCGGCGGAGCCCCCCGUGGGCACACGCCGUCCCCCAAAUACAGUGGCGGUCCCGCCGCAGCUUCCAUCGCGUAGUAGCUAACACCUCGCGACUGGAGAGCGGCGCGGCCACGCCGUAAAACACCCAACUCUUCUGAAGUUGACCUCGAAUCAGGUAGGAAUACCCGCUGAACUUAAGCAUAUCAAUAAGCGGAGGA
rnacentral:misc_RNA from 1 species